rnacentral:tRNA from 1 species
GGUAAGGUGGCCGAGAGUAGGCGGCGGGCUGUAAAUCCGCAGACGGGGUAAAAGGCCCCCCUUAUCA